rnacentral:rRNA from 1 species
AACGAACGCUGGCGGCAUGCCUAACACAUGCAAGUCGAACGAGACCUCCGGGUCUAGUGGCGCACGGGUGCGUAACGCGUGGGAACCUGCCCUUAGGUUCGGAAUAACUCCCCGAAAGGGGUCUUAAUACCGGUUAAUCUCUUCGGACCAAAGAUUUAUCGCUUUUGGAUGGGCCCGCGUUGGAUUGGCCAGUUGGUAGUGUAAAAGCAUACCAACGCGACGUUGCAUGGCUGGUGUGAGAGGAUGCUACACCACACUGGGACUGCGACACGGCCCAGACUCGUACGGAGGGGAGGAGUGGGGAGUAUAAUGGGAGGAGCGAAAACCUAAUCAAGCCGUGCCGGGUGAGAGAUGAAUGGCUUAGGGUUGUAAAGCUCUUUUACACGAGAUGUGAGUGACAGUACCGGGAGAAGAAGCUCCGGCUAACUACGUG